UACGUAGGGAGCAAGCGUUGUCCGGAAUCAUUGGGCGUAAAGCGCGCGUAGGUGGCUUCGUAAGUCCGUUGUGAAAGUCAAAGGCUCAACCUUUGAAAGCCGAUGGAUACUGCGGAGCUAGAGUACGGAAGAGGCGAGUGGAAUUCCUGGUGUAGCGGUGGAAUGCGUAGAGAUCCGGAAGAACACCGGUGGCGAAGGCGGUGAGCUGGGCAGUUGCUGACACUGAGGCGCGACGAGCGUGGGAGCAACAGG
rnacentral:rRNA from 1 species